rnacentral:rRNA from 1 species
GAUGAACGCUGGCGGCGUGCUUAACACAUGCAAGUCGAGCGAGAAGUUUUGAAAAGAUUCUUCGGAUGAAAUUUAAAAUGGAAAGCGGCGGACGGGUGAGUAACGCGUAGGCAACCUGCCCCAUACAAAGGGAUAGCAUUUGGAAACGAAUAUUAAUACCUUAUGAAACUUAACUAGUGCAUGCUAGGUAGGUCAAAGAUUUAUCGGUAUGGGAUGGGCCUGCGUCUGAUUAGCUAGUUGGUGAGGUAACGGCUCACCAAGGCGACGAUCAGUAGCCGACCUGGGAGGGUGAACGGCCACAUUGGAACUGAGACACGGUCCAAACUCCUACGGGAGGGAGCAGUGGGGAAUAUUGCACAAUGGGGGAAACCCUGAUGCAGCAACGCCGCGUGAACGAUGAAGGCCUUUGGGUCGUAAAGUUCUGUUCUAGGUGAUGAAAACUGACAGUAACCUAGGAGAAAGCCCCGGCUAACUCCGUG